rnacentral:rRNA from 1 species
AGUGAACGCUGGCGGUAGGCCUAACACAUGCAAGUCGAACGGCAGCACAGUAAGAGCUUGCUCUUACGGGUGGCGAGUGGCGGACGGGUGAGGAAUACAUCGGAAUCUACUUUUUCGUGGGGGAUAACAUAGGGAAACUUACGCUAAUACCGCAUACGACCUACGGGUGAAAGCAGGGGAUCUUCGGACCUUGCGCGAUUGAAUGAGCCGAUGUCGGAUUAGCUAGUUGGCGGGGUAAAGGCCCACCAAGGCGACGAUCCAUAGCUGGUCUGAGAGGAUGAUCAGCCACACUGGAACUGAGACACGGUCCAGACUCCUACGGGAGGCAGCAGUGGGGAAUAUUGGACAAUGGGCGCAAGCCUGAUCCAGCCAUACCGCGUGGGUGAAGAAGGCCUUCGGGUUGUAAAGCCCUUUUGUUGGGAAAGAAAAGCAGCAGGUUAAUACCCCGCUGUUCUGACGGUACCCAAAGAAUAAGCACCGGCUAACUUCGUG